GCCCUAAUGUCUAAAGGCUGGCCUUAAUCUGUUGAGCCUAAAGGCUGGCCCAUAGGGUGCAGAGGCCCUAAAGCUGUUAGGGUUUCCCUUUCAGCCUCACUUUGCAAUCUGAAUCUAAACACUGCCUCCCUUUCCAUUCCAGAGCUCUGCUAGGGUUAGCCGUCAACCCCCAAGGGAACUCCGACCAGAACUCCACUUCACCUCACUAAUCCACUCUAGGCGUCGUUGCGUUCGCUGUUGGUGCCUAGGGAUCCAACUACUAGCUGGUUUUCCAGAUGCGAGGGACAAUCGUGGUCAUCAGGCAAGAGGCGAUUCUGCAGCUUAGCUUUCUUGGAAUAUCUUGAGGGCUACGACCUAUGUAUUUGUCAGUCUUUUCUUAUGCUUGUGUUUCCAACAGACUAUUUAUGAUGCUCUUUUAUUUUCGGUGGCACUGUGGUGUGCCUUAGUUGUAAGGUCUUAUGUUUAAACUCCAGAAAUGCGCUGUUAUAUUAUAAUCAUGUGACGUUUUCUUUUAA